rnacentral:tRNA from 1 species
UGGGGAAUCGUCUAGAGGUAGGACACGUGACUCUGGAUCACGGAGCGAAGGUUCGAAUCCUUCUUCCCCAGCCA